AGACUUUUAGUUUAAAUUAAAACAUUUGAUUUCGGCUCAAAAAUUUGUGGUUCGAGUCCACAAAAGUCUA
rnacentral:tRNA from 1 species